UUGGAGGGCAAGUCUGGUGCCAGCAGCCGCGGUAAUUCCAGCUCCAAUAGCGUAUAUUAAAGUUGUUGCAGUUAAAAAGCUCGUAGUUGAAUUUCGAGAUCAGUACGCUGGUCGUGCCUUCGGUAUGCACUGGUGUCACUGGUUUCUCCCUUCUGACGAACCACGAUGUCAUUAAUUUGGUGUCGUGGGAAAUCAGGACUGUUACUUUGAAAAAAUUAGAGUGUUUAAAGCAGGCAUUCGCUUGAAUACAUUAGCAUGGAAUAAUGAAAUAGGACGUUUGGUCUUAUUUUGUUGGUUUCUAAGAUCGACGUAAUGAUUAAUAGGGAUAGUUGGGGGCAUUAGUAUUCAAUUGUCAGAGGUGAAAUUCUUGGAUUUAUUGAAGACUAACUACUGCGAAAGCAUUUGCCAAGGAUGUUUUCAUUAAUCAGGAACGAAAGUUAGGGGAUCGAAGACGAUCAGAUACCGUCGUAGUCUUAACCAUAAACUAUGCCGACUAGGGAUCGGACGAUGUUAUUUUUUGACGCGUUCGGCGCCUUACGG
rnacentral:rRNA from 1 species